rnacentral:rRNA from 1 species
UACGUGGGGGGCAAGCGUUGUUCGGAAUUACUGGGCGUAAAGGGCGCGUAGGCGGCCCGGCAAGUCAGGGGUGAAAGCCCUGGGCUCAACCCGGGAACUGCUGUUGAAACUGCCGAGCUAGAGUGCGGAAGGGGCAACUGGAAUUCCCAGUGUAGCGGUGAAAUGCGUAGAUAUUGGGAAGAACACCUGAGGCGAAGGCGGGUUGCUGGGCCGACACUGACGCUGAGGCGCGAAAGCCAGGGGAGCGAACGGG